rnacentral:rRNA from 1 species
GAUGAACGCUGGCGGCGUGCCUAAUACAUGCAAGUCGAACGAAACUUCUUUAUCACCGAGUGCUUGCACUCACCGAUAAAGAGUUGAGUGGCGAACGGGUGAGUAACACGUGGGCAACCUGCCCAAAAGAGGGGGAUAACACUUGGAAACAGGUGCUAAUACCGCAUAACCAUAGUUACCGCAUGGUAACUAUGUAAAAGGUGGCUAUACUACCGCUUUUGGAUGGGCCCGCGGCGCAUUAGCUAGUUGGUAGGGUAAAGGCUUACCAAGGCAAUGAUGCGUAGCAGAAUUGAGAGGUUGAUCGGCCACAUUGGGACUGAGACACGGCCCAAACUCCUACGGGAGGCAGCAGUAGGGAAUCUUCCACAAUGGGCGAAAGCCUGAUGGAGCAACGCCGCGUGGGUGAAGAAGGUCUUCGGAUCGUAAAACCCUGUUGUUAGAGAAGAAAGUGCGUGAGAGUAACGGUUCACGUUUCGACGGUAUCUAACCAGAAAGCCACGGCUAACUACGU